rnacentral:ncRNA from 1 species
CCAAGCAAUCGAACAAGUGUAUGAGUCAAGCACUCACCAGAAAAAAAUCUGCACAAGGAAGGUAAAGGGCAGGGUAUAAAUCCUGAGACCUCUCCAGUCCAUGCAAGUUCACACCACCACUCUGUUUCACAUGUAGUGCUAGGCAGGUAUAUCGUAAGUGCAUACUAAGACCCAAAAUAUGUUGCACUAUUCCUGAGAAGGGCAAAGCAAGAGGAAACUCUCUUGGAGGUCUAUAGCAUAUGACAAUCUGUCAUCUGGAACAAGACUUAUCAAACCUUCUAGUAGGUGGCUCCCUCAAAGUUUUCCUCAGAAUAGCUGGAGUGCUCGCAAACAUGCAGUUUAAUCUGGCAAAGCAAUGAUUACAGGUCUUGGGACUGAAAUGAUCUCAAACUAUUCUCAAAAUUUAAAUGGGUCCUGGGCUUGUUGUUGUUGUUGUUAGAUGCCGUCAAGUCGGUUCCGACUCAUAGUGACCCUAUGCACAACAGAACGAAACACUGCCCAGUCCUGCACCAUCCUUACAGUUGUUGUUAUGCUUGAGCUCGUUGUUGCAGCCACGGUGUCAAUCCACCUCAUUGAGGGUCUUCCUCUUUUCCGCUGACCCUGUACUCGGCCAAGCAUGAUGUCUUUCUCCAGGGGCUGAUCCCUCCUGACAACACGUCCAAAAUAUGUAAGACACAGUCUCGCCAUCCCUGCCUCUAAGGAGCAUUCUGGCCACACUUCUUCCAAGACAGAUUUGUUCGUUCUUUUGGCAGUCCAUGGUAUAUUCAGUAUUCUUCACCAACACCACAAUUCAAAGGCUUCAAUUCUUCUUCAGUCUUCCUUAUUCAUUGUCCAGCUUUCACGUGCAUAUGAUGCAAUUGAAAAUACCAUGGCUUGGGUCAGGUGCACCUUAGUCUUCAAGGUGACAUCUCUGCUCUUCAACACUUUAAAGAGGUCCUUUGCAGCAGAUUUACCCAAUGCAAUGCAUCUUUUGAUUUCUUGACUGCUGCUUCCAUGGCUGUUGAUUAUGGAUCCAAAUAAAAUUAAAUCCUUGACAACUUCAAUCUUUAUUCCAUUUCUCAUGAUGUUGCUCAUUGGUCCAGCUGUGAGGAUUUUUGUUUUCGUCAUGUUGAGGUGCAAUCCACACUGAAGGCUGUGGUCCUAGGCAGCCAUCUAAGAUAUUUCACCAGUCUCACUUCUUCGGGAAGGAGCAAGGAAGAAUGAAGAAAACUAAACAUACAAGGGAAAGACUGGUCCAAAGCACUAAUGAACCACAUCUACCACAGCCUCCACCAGACUGAGUCCAGUACAGCUAGAUGGUGCCCAGCUACUACCACUGACUGCUCUAACAGGGAUCACAGUAGAUAGACCAGGACAGAGCUGAAGAAAAAUGCGAACAAAACUCUAACUAAAAAACAAACAAACAAACAAACAAAAGACCAGAUUUACUGGCCUGACAGAAACUGGAGGAACUCCAAGAGUACGGCCCCCGGACACCCUUUUAGCUCAGUAAUGAAGUCAUUCCCAAGGUUCACCCCUCAGCCAAAGAUUAGACAGGCCCAUAAAAUAAAACAAGACUAAAGGGGCACACCAGCCCAGGGGCAAGGACUAGAAUGCAGGAGGGACAGGAAAGCUGCUAAUAGGAAACCCAAGGUCAAGAAGGGAGUGUUGACAUGUCAUGGGGUUGUUAACCAAUGUCAUAAAACAAUAUGUGUACGGUUUAAUGAGAAACUAGUUCAUUCUGUAAACCUUCAUCUAAUAGACAAUAAACACUGAGUUCUUGGAUGGAGCCAGGACCACUUUUGGUAAGCAAUACUGGUGCUGCAGGAUGAACCAAAUGCCAAGUCAAGGCAGUCAAUGCUGAUGCUCAUCAGACCCCAGGAAACGUGUUGGCUGAUAUAUACAGUAGGGCAGGACAGGGGUUAUAAAAGUCAAAAUCUACAAAGAGUACAUAAUAACUUAUCUACCAAAUCAACUGCUCUGAAAAUGAAUGGUACUAAAACAUCAAUCCCAUAUACAGCCAUGGCUGGCAGUUAACACUCAAGGGGGAGUGAGAACGGCCUGCUGCCUGACUGCCCAGAUCUCACAUCCCUACCACCGCACCCCGACAAGCGCUACACAGCAAUGAGUAGAAGGGCUGCGCUGGUGAGCUCUGAAGCCUAGAACCUAGGCCCAGAUGGAGCUACUGCAGGUGAAGAUCUUGG